CCUCGGAUCAGGUAGGGAUACCCGCUGAACUUAAGCAU
rnacentral:rRNA from 2 species